rnacentral:rRNA from 1 species
AGUGAACGCUGGCGGUAGGCCUAACACAUGCAAGUCGAACGGCAGCACAGUAAGAGCUUGCUCUUACGGGUGGCGAGUGGCGGACGGGUGAGGAAUACAUCGGAAUCUACUUUUUCGUGGGGGAUAACGUAGGGAAACUUACGCUAAUACCGCAUACGACCUACGGGUGAAAGCAGGGGAUCUUCGGACCUUGCGCGAUUGAAUGAGCCGAUGUCGGAUUAGCUAGUUGGCGGGGUAAAGGCCCACCAAGGCGACGAUCCGUAGCUGGUCUGAGAGGAUGAUCAGCCACACUGGAACUGAGACACGGUCCAGACUCCUACGGGAGGCAGCAGUGGGGAAUAUUGGACGAUGGGCGCAAGCCUGAUCCAGCCAUACCGCGUGGGUGAAGGAGGCCUUCGGGUUGUAAAGCCCUUUUGUUGGGAAAGAAAAGCAGCAGGUUAAUACCCCGCUGUUCUGACGGUACCCAAAGAAUAAGCACCGGCUAACUUCGU